rnacentral:tRNA from 1 species
GCGCUCGUAGCUCAGUUGGAUAGAGCACACGCCUUCUAAGCGUGUUGUCGGGAGUUCGAAUCUCUUCGAGCGCGCCA